rnacentral:RNase_P_RNA from 1 species
GGAGUCGGCCGGACAGCCGCCGCCGCGCGAGCGGGGGAGGAAAGUCCGGGCUCCACCGGGCAGUGUGCCAGUUAACGGCUGGGCGGCGUGAGCCGACGGAAAGUGCAACAGAGAACAGACCGCCGAUGGCCCGCCAGGGCGCAGGCAAGGGUGAAACGGUGCGGUAAGAGCGCACCGCGGUUCCGGCAACGGAAACGGCACGGCAAACCCCACACGGAGCAAGGCCAAAUAGGGAAGGUGGGUCUUUCAAGAUCCGACGCGCGGCCCGCGCGCCUUCCGGGUAGGCCGCUUGAGACGACGAGCGAUCGUCGCCGUAGAGGAAUGGCUGUCGGGGCACCGCCAGGUGCUCGCACAGAACCCGGCUUAUAGGCCGGCUCCCGCU